GACAAUAGGCAAUUCCAGCUGUAGACUAAAUUUUGAUCUAGGCAAGAAGAACAAAAUCCAUUAUACCACAGCUAGAAAGAGCAUGUUAAAAUGAGUAAAAUUGCAAAGUUUGUAAAUAGCCCUGUCAUGAAGUUCGCAAAUUUUGUAUAUGUACUUUUGUGUGUAUUACAAAUUAAUACAAAAUUUGCAAAUUUCGUAGGGCUAUAUUUUCGUCAUUUUACAACAUUUCGCAACCAAACUUUGCAAUUUUACUAAUUUUAACAUGCUCUUUCUAGCUGCGGUGAUGGAUUCCGUUCUUCUUGCCUAGAUCAAAAUUUAGUCUAUAGCUGAAAUUGCCUAUAUUGUC